rnacentral:rRNA from 1 species
GAUGAACGCUAGCUACAGGCUUAACACAUGCAAGUCGAGGGGAAACGAUAGAGAAAGCUUGCUUUUUCUAGGCGUCGACCGGCGCACGGGUGAGUAACGCGUAUCCAACCUGCCCAUCACUUGGGGAUAACCUUGCGAAAGUAAGACUAAUACCCAAUGACGUCUCUAGAAGACAUCUGAAAGAGAUUAAAGAUUUAUCGGUGAUGGAUGGGGAUGCGUCUGAUUAGAUUGUUGGCGGGGUAACGGCCCACCAAGGCGACGAUCAGUAGGGGUUCAGAGAGAAAGGUCCCACACAUUGGAGCUGAGACAGGGUGCAAACUCAUAAGGGAGGCAGCAGUGAGGAAUAUUGGUCAAUGGGCGAGAGCCUGAACCAGCCAAGUAGCGUGCAGGAUGACGGCCCUAUGGGUUGUAAACUGCUUUUAUAAGGGAAUAAAGUGAGAGUCGUGACUCUUUUUGCAUGUACCUUAUGAAUAAGGACCGGCUAAUUCCGUGCCAGCAGCCGCCGUAA